rnacentral:rRNA from 1 species
CCUACGGGUGGCAGCAGUGGGGAAUAUUGGGCAAUGGACGCAAGUCUGACCCAGCAACGCCGCGUGAAGGAAGAAGGCUUUCGGGUUGUAAACUUCUUUUAAAGGGGAAGAGCAGAAGACGGUACCCCUUGGAUAAGCCACGGCUAACUACGUGCCAGCAGCCGCGGUAAUACGUAGGUUGCAAGCGUUGUCCGGAUUUACUGGGGGUAAAGGGCGUGCAGCCGGAGAGACAAGUCAGAUGGGAAAUCCCCGGGCUCAACCCGUGAACUGCAUUUGAAACUGUUUCCCUUGAGUGUCGGAGAGGUAAUCGGAAUUCCUUGUGUAGCGGUGAAAUGCGUAGAUAUAAGGAAGAACACCAGUGGCGAAGGCGGAUUACUGGACGAUAACUGACGGUGAGGCGCGAAAGCGUGGGGAGCAAACAGGAUUAGAUACCCUAGUAGUC